GUGCUCGCUUUGGCAGCACAUAUACUAAAACUGGAACGAUACAGAGAAGGAUGACAUGCAAAUUCAUGAAGCGUUUCAUAUUGUU
rnacentral:snRNA from 1 species